AUGUGCGGGCUUUGUUUAAUGUGUUAUGGGCUUAGAAAGAAACAAAAGUGUGGCCAGUUUUAGACGUCGCCUUCUUCCAGAGUUUAGGGUUCAUUGACUCCUCAUAAAUCUGAUUACGGUUCUAACAAUGGAGGUACUGAGAGGUCGUGUUAGAGGAGACUUCGUGAGUAAUCUAUGCGUCGAUGUCUGAUCGUGUCGUUUGGGUAUCGAUUCUUCACCACCGAACCGUUACAAGUUGCAUUGAUUCAACGUCAUUAACCAUUUCUGACCCACUACAGCCAGGAUCUAUCAUUCAAUGAAUCUUAUCCUUCUUCCAUGCGGUGAUUCUCCACCUAUGUAAAGGUUUUGGGAAGCAAGAAACGUGGUGAGGAGUACAUGCUCCGCCUAGACGCUAAUGUUGUCCAUUCUUUAAACUCGCGAUUAUACGAGCUUUGUGUUCUUUUGUAGACGCCGUCAAUGGUAGGGUUUCAGAGAGACUGUCGUGAAAUAUAGUUCUAUUGAAAACAUGAGAAAUAUCAAAUUAAGGAGUUCAGACAAUAGUUUAGACACAAUGAAAGAACAAAGUGAUGUAGGUUGCUCUUGGUCCUUCCUCUUCUGAUGAAAUCCAUCAUGCCAACUUCAAAUCUUCCAAGGUUGUGUUUCUCUGCUUUUUACAAUUUUUUUUUUUGGUUUAAAGCUUCUUACAAUAUUUGUUUUAUAUUACUUGGUCUUUUACAUAUUUUUUGGAAUAUUAUUUCAUCUGCGUCAUGGUGAUGAUGGACUGCUUAUUACUGAUAUGCCAAAGGAAGAGGUUGAAAGGUAUCAUCUGUCUCUCGAAGCCUUCUGUUUUUUUCCCGUCUUGCUUUAGUAAAAACAACUGUGUGCUUAUUCUACUUAUACUAUAUCUAUCUAUCUCGUGGCUACAUGUCCCAGAUACAUUUUUUUGAACA